CACAGAGGAUUCGCUCCACUGUGGAUGAGAAGGAGCAGAAGCAGCUACUGAUGGAUCUCGACGUGGUGAUGAGGAGUAGUGACUGUCCCUACAUUGUUCAGUUCUACGGCGCUCUCUUCAGAGAGGGGGACUGUUGGAUUUGUAUGGAACUUAUGUCUACCUCAUUAGACAAAUUCUACAAAUAUGUAUAUUGUGCAUUAGAUGACGUCAUUCCAGAGGAAAUAUUAGGCAAAAUAACAUUAGCGACCGUUAAAGCACUGAACCACUUAAAAGAAAACUUGAAAAUA